rnacentral:rRNA from 1 species
GGGUCAGUAGGUUGGUCGUGCCACCGGUACGUACUGGACUCACUGAUUCCUCCUUCCUGAAGAACCGUAAUGCCAUUAAUUUGGUGUUGCGGGGAAACAGGACUGUUAAUUUGAAAAAAUUAGAGUGUUUAAAGCAAGCUAACGCUUGAAUACACUAGCAUGGAAUAAUGAAAUAGGACGAUCGAUCCUAUUUUGUUGGUUUCUAGGAUUGACGUA